GUUCCAGAUCAGACAGUGCACUACGACUUCCUUCCGCAUUUCCAUUCGUGAAUGAUCGAUGUCAACCUGAUCUGGAUGCAAGUGGAGCAUUUUCUACUGUCAAUAAUUGAUGUGGAUUAAUUGAUGCUGUGCACGAUUUCAUGUCCAGGGAUCUGAGCCAUAAUCGUGAGUACCUCUUGUAUUGAAUAAGAAAGAAAGAGAGACAUAGAAAGAGGAAUGAUGGCUAGAGAAAGUAAGAAAGAGGAGGUGUGAG